GAACCACCAACCCUUGGCAUUAGGAUGAGGAUGAAGGACGAAGAAAGUUUGAAAGAGAGAAGGAUGGGGCUCAAUCGGUAUGAGCUGACAUAACAAAGUGAAACUGAUAAUCAACCGGAUGAAGUUUGGAGCAGCUGAGCAGGACAGAGACGGUAAUAGUCAAGAAGAUUCUGGACGAACUCUAGAAUCAAAAAUCGAAGAUCAGCCUGAAGGUCUUCAACAUAAAAUACGAU
rnacentral:lncRNA from 1 species